rnacentral:rRNA from 1 species
GCGGGAACGCGACCGGCGGAAAUGCGGAAGGAAAAUCG